rnacentral:rRNA from 1 species
UGGGGAAUUUUGCACAAUGGGGGAAACCCUGAUGCAGCGACGCCGCGUGAUUUAGAAGGCCUUCGGGUUGUAAAAAUCUUUUCUAUGGGAAGAAAAUGACAGUACCAUAGGAAUAAGGACCGGCUAAUUACGUGCCAGCAGCCGCGGUAAUACGUAAGGUCCGAGCGUUGUCCGGAAUCAUUGGGCGUAAAGGGUACGUAGGCGGGUAAGCAAGUUAGAAGUGAAAUCCUAUAGCUCAACUAUAGUAAGCUUUUAAAACUGCUCAUCUUGAGGUAUGGAAGGGAAAGUGGAAUUCCUAGUGUAGCGGUGAAGUGCGCAGAUAUUAGAAGGAAUACCGGUGGCGAAGGCGACUUUCUGGCCAUAACCUGACGCUGAGGUACGAAAGCGUGGGUAGCAAACAGG